UACGUAGGGGGCUAGCGUUGUCCGGAAUCAUUGGGCGUAAAGCGUGCGCAGGCGGUUAUGCAAGACAGAUGUGAAAUCCCCGGGCUCAACCUGGGAACUGCAUUUGUGACUGCAUAGCUGGAGUGCGGCAGAGGGGGAUGGAAUUCCGCGUGUAGCAGUGAAAUGCGUAGAUAUGCGGAGGAACACCGAUGGCGAAGGCAAUCCCCUGGGCCUGCACUGACGCUCAUGCACGAAAGCGUGGGGAGCAAACAGG
rnacentral:rRNA from 1 species